AAGCAAUAAAAUUGAGUUUGCACACAAAAUGGCACCUCCUGAGCAGAAGGUGGCAGUAACGGUCAAUAAAAAGGACGUCAAUCGCCAUAAAAGAAGAAUAAACAUCGUUUGUUUUGGGCGCCAAAAUGAAGACUCAGCAGCAGUCAGUCAGAAGAACUCUCUCAGACGGACACCACGUUAUUAAAGUCCAUCAUCCUUGCAUGCGCUACACACUCAAAAGCAUUGAUAAAUGCUGAAUUUAAAAGAAUCACUACUGUCUUAUGUUCCUGCGUGUCACCUGGACCUCCAAUCCAAAAACCUGACGAAACUCUUCUAUCAGAAAGGAGGACAGCUAGCAAAAAGACUUGGAACAAUCAAUGAUCAAAUGACAGAAGGCAUGGAUGAAGUCAGCAUCAGUGUGGUCAUUUGAAGACACCACUGUUGGGAUUUGUGCUCUCAAACAACAUGCUUCUUGUGAUGAAGAAGAGGAUCUUUGUAUAGUCCUGGAAGGCAUGAAGGUGUUGCAACAUCGUGCCAUGUUGUUUGAGCUGAUGUAUGCCUUAAACCUGGGCUAUCCUGAUCUCUGCUUUAUUUUUGAAGAAAUCCAAAAGAUUUUAAUGGAACUGCAUUGAGCGUAACUUUAACGGACAGUUUCUUUCAGUGAAAGGAUCAGAAAGACUGUGCUGCUCAUUUAUGUUCUUUUUAUUUAUCUGUUUUAAGUGUUUUUUCUUAUUAAAACAUUAACCGUUUGCUGCUCAGAGUUGAUUUUGGAAAUGGUUGUUGUAUUUUGUUUUUGUUGAAUCUUUGAUUAUCAGUUUAUACAAAUGCUGUAGCUCUGACUUUCUGAAGGAUUGAUAUUUUCCAGUUUGUAAAUCCAUUUAAAAAAUAAUAGUACUUACUGUUUUGCAUGUCUCUUUGGAAUGCAGUGUUUGUGCUUUAGCACUUCUAAAUCUACUGUGAUAGUAACUAUUUUAAACAUUUGGGUCAGUUUUACAGAUGGGGCUUUUUCUAGUCCCAGACUUUUGCAAUGCCUUAAUUUGAAAACAUAUUGCACUGACAUAUCUUGACAUAUAUCAGUGCCAUUGUUUUGUCUCAAGAUGUACUCCAGUGUUGUUUUUGUAAGGUAGGUUUGUUUGUAAACUUUUUUUGUAAAAAAUAUCCUAAUAUAACUAGGGCCUAGUCAUGGAUUAAUCUACAACCUGUUUGGGAAAUUGCCCCUUUGUAUGUACUGCAUGUGCUGAUUGUUGUAAUAGUUAUUGACUGUUGUUGAAUUAAUGUGUAGUGAUUUAAAUGAAUUGAUGAUCUGAAAGCAGUGGUUUGCCUCAAUAUCACUAAACUUUUGUUUAAAACUCUUUGCUUUUUAUGCCAAUGCAAAUGUAUUUUGUAUUUAAAA